rnacentral:misc_RNA from 1 species
AAGUCGUAACAAGGUUUCCGUAGGUGAACCUGAAGGAGCAUUACAAAUCUUGAGUUAGUGGGGCUGACACAUUAGCACAAGGCCGCAAGGUCUUGAUGUUUACGCUUGUAUGUUUGACAGAGUUAAAUUGUGACCUUAAAAAUGACAACUUUUAACAACUGAUCUCUUGGCUCUU